rnacentral:rRNA from 1 species
AUACGGAGGGUGCAAGCGUUGUCCGGAUUUAUUGGGUUUAGAGGGUGUGUAGGCGGUGUAUUAAGUCAGUGGUGAAAGCCUGCGGCUCAACCGUAGAACUGCCAUUGAUACUGACACACUUGAGUAUGGACGAGGUAGGCGGAAUUUAUGGUGUAGCGGUGAAAUGCAUAGAUACCAUAAAGAACACCGAUAGCGAAGGCAGCUUACUAGGCCAUAACUGACGCUGAGGCACGAAAGCGUGGGGAGCGAGCAGGAUUAGAAACCCCGGUAGUCC